AGUGCAAGAGAAGUAUGACCUCCCAGGUCCAUUGGAGCACAUGGGGAUGGUCGAUGCUUUCAAUCCACAGAAGGCUGAUUUCUCUGGCAUGAGCAGCACUAAAGGUCUAGUGGUGUCUAAAGUUUUACACAAAUCCUUUUUGGAGGUAAAUGAAGAGGGAGCUGAAGCUGCUGCUGCCACAGGGGUGGAAACCCGCAUACUAUCUGCACCAAGGACCACAGAAUUUACUUGUAAUCGCCCUUUCAUAGUCUUCAUAAAGCCAAACAACACCAACAGCAUCCUCUUCUUUGGAAGAGUAUCUUCCCCUUAAGGGUGGUGGCUCUGCCACGUAUCCAGAAAAGUUAACAACCUUGCUGUAGGUAAUUGAGGCUGGGAACAGUUUUGCUUGCCUCCUUUCCUGUCCCAUCUCAGACUGCAUUAGUUGAGGCAGGAUAGCUCUACUAUCUCUAUUUUCUCCUUUCUUCUCUAUAUGUAUAUACAAACCUGGUUUCUGUCUGUAACCCUUCUCUGGGAAAAAAUGGUCAACAAAAAUUGGGAUAUUUUAAUAUAGUUUCUUUUAAUCUAACAUGUAUCUGUCAACUGCGUUAAGUGAAGUAGAGUAAACCAUACCCUCUUUUUAAAUUGAUUAGCAUAAAAAUAUACAUUCCUUUAGGAGAAACCUGGAAACUGCAUAAGCUUUUACAUGUUGUGAUGUUACAAAAUACAUUUUCAAUAAAAUGAUAAUCUUUCCAACUU
rnacentral:lncRNA from 1 species